rnacentral:tRNA from 1 species
CCUUCGAUAGCUCAACUGGUAGAGCGGAGGACUGUAGAUCCUUAGGUCGCUGGUUCGAUUCCGGCUCGAAGGA